AAAAAGAAGAGAAACCAAAUGGGCGCCAUACAAGUGUAAGAAGCUGGAUUUGUCAAAUGGAGUACAGAAUUUGGGGUCACGUGACGAAAGCGUGCUUCCCAUCAUUACUACUAAAGGCGUUACACGAUUGACGAUAUGCACACACACCGACUCGGAUGUUGCCGGGUUCAGGCUUCUCUCUGAUAUCAAACCCUUCCCCUCAAACGAAGGCAUUCGGUUCGUUUGUCGGGUCAAAUAUCAACUAUGAUCACUAGUGGGCAUAGGUGGCACACAAUUAACUGCUUCAAACGGCAAAAUGCUUUGGAAGAGCAUAACAUUGAUAACAGAGAAGAUAAGAUCAGCAUUUUACCUGAUUCCAUUCUUCAUCACAUUCUUUCAUAUCUUCCUACCAGAGAUGUUGUAGGGACAUGUAUACUAUCAACAAGGUGGAAGAAUCUUUGGACUUGUGUUGAAAACAUUGACUUUGAUGACUCAUUGCUCUAUUCAAGUGGGAUUUUUGGUUAUCCUGUGAACGUCACUUGUUUCAUGCACUUUGUCCAGAGAGUUUUUCAACUUCGAGAAGAAUCAGACAUCAAAAAGUUUCGCCUUUCCUGCCGUGUUUGCUUCAGUGCCUCUCAUGUUUGUUUAUGGAUUUUAGCUGCUAUUAAGCAUAAUGCUAAAGAGCUUGAUCUUUGCCUUUUUGUAGAAGAGCCUUUUAUGUUGCCUCAAUGUGUUUUCAGUAGCAAGACACUUACUUCUCUAAAACUUGAAAUGAAUUGUGUUCUUGAACUACCUGCUAGUACCUUUUUUCCUUUCCUUAGAACGUUGCACCUAUGUCUUGUCACAUUUCGGGAUGAUAGCUCAACCCAGAGGCUGUUUUCUGGUUGCCCUAUGCUUCGAGAGUUGGCUAUAUUAGAUUGUGAAUGGAUGAACUUGAAGCAUGUCGCAAUUUCAAUCUCUACAUUGAAGAGCUUGACAAUUGAUGAUUUGCCUUUCUUUGGCUCCACUGACGAUCUAAAUGGCUGCGAAAUCAAGAUUGAUGCAGCAAGUCUUAGUUUCCUAAAGUACAGUGGUUAUCUCUCAAAUGAGAUAUAUUUGUAUAAUCUAUCCCCCUCAGUUUAUGCAUCUAUUCACAUCCCAAUUCUCUAUGAGAAGCGAAAUCAAAUUGCUUUUCGUGCUGUUAAGCUCUUUAGAGGGAUACACAAAAUUAACGCUGCGAGAAUAUCUAGCAGGGCUAUUGAGUCUCUCUUCAUCGCAGACAUAGAGAAAGACCGACUUCCAGUAUUUUAUAACUUGAUGCAUUUGGAGUUGAGUAUGGAACUUGAAAAUCAUACGAUUGGACCAUUGAAGGAACUGCUCCAAUGUCUGCCAAAGUUGCAAUCACUUCAUUUUUCUGAGGGACUUGCCCCCUGCAUGCGCCUUUGUGAAGAUGACUGGAACUUGGGAUCUGUACCAUCCUGUUUCUUGUCUAGUCUCAAGACAGUGACAUACUCCAAUUUUCAUGGUAAUGAUACAGAAAUUUCUUUUUUAAGAAAUUUGGUGAAAAAUGCAUUAGUUUUGGAGAAGCUGAACAUAGUGUGUUCAAAGAGACAUUUCGGGGAUCCAAAGAAGCAAAAGGAAGUUAAAGUUCAACUGCAAAGUCUUCACAGGGGAUCAGUGUCUUGUGCUAUCAAGUUUAUGUAAAACCUCAAAGAGCCUUUACCUCUUAUUGUAGGUGUAUGUGAUGCAGUUUUCUACAAGCAGUUAGUUUGCAAGCAUUUGUUGCGGCUCUUGCAGAUCGCUGGCUAUGAUCUUUUGAUUCCUAUUAAGAGUGCAACACCAUGCUUUAGUAUGCUUGUCCAACUUCGUAGAUCAGUUAUUGUUUGGUAAUGCUGUCUCCAGGUUCAUGUAAAUCAGUUGGAACUUCUUUUGGCACCUAGCUCACAAAUCUUUAAGGUCUUUUUGGAGUAGUGGAAUCUGACUGUACUGGAACAGGCAUGUCAGAAUAUAAUACAAAAUAUAAGAGAAGGGGAGGUGCCAUGAUGCAUGCUAUUUGCUGAUGACAUAGUUCUAAUUGACGAGACACGACGCGGCGUCAACGAGAGGCUAGAGGUUUGGAGACAUGCCCUUGAGUCUAAAGGUUUCAGGCUGAGCAGGACGAAGACGGAAUACCCCGAGUGCAAAUUUGGGGCCGAGCCAAUGGAAGCAGGAGUGGAAGUGAGGCUCGACUCUCAAGUCAUCCCUAAAAGGGGUAGUUUCAAGUACCUUGGGUCAGUUAUUCAGGGGAUCGGGAGAUCGACGAGGAUGUCACA